CAGUUUUAAAGUUAGUUAUUGUUCUGACGUUGUUCACUGAACGUGAACGUAUUCGUAAAGAUUAGACAAACGCAAAAAAACACAACAUAUAAAACACAAUUUUUAUAAAAUUUUCGUAAUCGAAAUCAUAAUAAAAUCGAGAAGAAAAAAAGUUCUAAACAUGACCAUUUACGCCAUUAUAGUGCAAAUCAUUUUAGUGUGUAACUAAAAUAAAAAACAAAUUAAAACAUUUUUUAAAUUACAAAUUUUAAAGUUAUUACAUUUAUAUAAAGAGAAAUCUAUAAACAAAAUGUUUUCCUCCACAUUUAUAAGUUCGGUUUACUAUCAACAUGAAGAUCCUGAAGAGGAUAUCGAUUCGAAGAUACCUUCCAUAAUUGGUUUUCUAAACAUGGAUUGAAAUGUUUGUUAGCUGUUAGAAAUUUUUGUUUUAAGUUAUGUUUUAAUGUAAUAUUUAAUUAGUACAAUGUAAUUUUACAUAUUUUUCUCUUUAGAGGAAAUAUUGUAUGUUUUUAAGUUGUUUAGCUUAAUUAGUGUGUAAGAAAUUUAUAAAAAAUAAAAUUGAUUUAGAAAAAUAAAAGUAGUGUAA